rnacentral:rRNA from 1 species
UAGGGAAUCUUCCGCAAUGGACGAAAGUCUGACGGAGCAACGCCGCGUGAGCGAUGAAGGCCUUCGGGUCGUAAAGCUCUGUUGUUAGGGAAGAACAAGUGCUAGUUAAAUAAGCUGGCACCUUGACGGUACCUAACCAGAAAGCCACGGCUAACUACGUGCCAGCAGCCGCGGUAAUACGUAGGUGGCAAGCGUUGUCCGGAAUUAUUGGGCGUAAAGCGCGCGCAGGCGGUUUCUUAAGUCUGAUGUGAAAGCCCCCGGCUCAACCGGGGAGGGUCAUUGGAAACUGGGAAACUUGAGUGCAGAAGAGGAAAGUGGAAUUCCAAGUGUAGCGGUGAAAUGCGUAGAGAUUUGGAGGAACACCAGUGGCGAAGGCGACUUUCUGGUCUGUAACUGACGCUGAGGCGCGAAAGCGUGGGGAGCAAACAGGAUUAGAUACCCCCGUAGUCC